AGUGACAAUGUCUAAUCCAAUACCGGAAAAAGAGUCGCACCGACGCUGGAACUGCUCUACUCCUCGCUCAGGAGUGAAACUACAAGCACCUUACAGUGCACCGACCCCACGGAAGUGUAACAAUAAUAAUGGCGAUAAGGAAGCUUCCCACUUCACUCAAUUAAAUUGAACAAUUUCGGUGUUAUUGCGCUCGGAUCCAAUCAUCCCCCUCCGCCCCGCCGGCAGCUGCGAUGGUGUACCAAUGGGCGGAAGAUAAGACCAUGACUCCCACUUUGGGAGUACGGCCUGGCCUAUCCGGUGAUGGAUUGACACCUGCCGGCGUCUACCUGUUGGACUUCCCUCCCCUCCACGCGCUUUGGACUUCCCUCCUCGCGAUGGGGAAAGAACUUCCCGGAAUCUUAUCGCCAGUGGACUUCCCUGGAAGUGGGGCGUAGAGUACCUUCGAGACGAAUCGACCCAUCAUCACCACUCCCAAUCAACGCGGCCAUCGAUGAUUGUAGAUUCGAUUUAACAAUAAGUUAUGAAUCAUCUGCUCAAAAUUGGAUUUAAUCGCCAUUCUAUGCGUACACUUAAAGAAGUGGAGGGGCAUUAAUGAAGCACCUAGUAGUUUCUAAAACUUUCGAAAAAAGCGGGAUUGUUCAAAUUGUGAGCACAUCUUAAUAUGCUAACUUUAUUAGAUAUAUUACUUAUGGAUCGACCCUUCCCACAACAUUAAACAUUCAACA